rnacentral:lncRNA from 1 species
GAACACAAGACCUGUUGCAAGGCAUAUUCACUGCAGCGUGGAGAUGAGCUUGAAAAUCCUUGUUGAGGCCUGUCCCAAGGACUAGCGAAUCACACAGUUGUGACUGAGGAACAGUUGUCCUUAGCAGGUUCCUGACUUUAAUGUGAUUGUUCUCAUACAGAAGCCUCUGGAUGCUAUGGGAAGAGCUGGCUCCGGGCGAAGGCCAGCAUGCCAGCUAGAGGAGCCUCGCAUCGCGUCAGGUGGUCUAAUGCUGCAACCAUGCAUGUAGGACAUGAAAUGAAGGCUUC